GACGAACGCUGGCGGCGCGCUUAACACAUGCAAGUCGAGCGAAGCGGCGGACGGGUGAGUACCACGUGCGUAACCUGCCUUAGACAUUGGGAUAGCCUCGGGAAACCGGGAUUACUACCAAAUGGUCUAAGAUGGACUCGCGUCCCAUUAGCUAGUUGGUGAGGUAACGGCCCACCAAGGCGACGAUGGGUAGCCGGCAGGGGAGGGUGAACGGCAACAUUGGAACUGAGAAACGGUCAAAACUCUACGGGAGGCAGCAGUGGGGAAUAUUGCACAAUGGAGGGAACUCGGAUGCAGCGACGCAGCGUGAACGAAGAAGGCUUUCGAGUCGUAAAGUUCUUUUAUAUGGGAAGCGGUACCAUAAGAAAAAGCCCCGGCUAACUACGUGCCAGCAGCCGCGGUAAUAC
rnacentral:rRNA from 1 species